UACGUAGGGGGCUAGCGUUGUCCGGAAUCAUUGGGCGUAAAGGGCGCGUAGGUGGCCUUCUAAGUCGAACGUGAAAUCCCUCGGCUCAACCGGGGAACUGCGUCCGAUACUGGCGUGCUUGAGGACUGGAGAGGAGACUGGAAUUCAUGGUGUAGCAGUGAAAUGCGUAGAGAUCAUGAGGAAGACCAGUGGCGAAGGCGGGUCUCUGGACAGUUCCUGACACUGAGACACGAAGGCCAGGGGAGCAAACGGG
rnacentral:rRNA from 1 species